GAUGAACGCUGGCGGCGUGCUUAACACAUGCAAGUCGAACGGAAAGGCUCCUGCUUGCAGGGGUACUCGAGUGGCGAACGGGUGAGUAACACGUGGGUGAUCUGCCCUGCACUUCGGGAUAAGCCUGGGAAACUGGGUCUAAUACCGGAUAGGACGAUGGUUUGGAUGCCAUUGUGGAAAGUUUUUUCGGUGUGGGAUGAGCUCGCGGCCUAUCAGCUUGUUGGUGGGGUAAUGGCCUACCAAGGCGUCGACGGGUAGCCGGCCUGAGAGGGUGUACGGCACAUUGGGACUGAGAUACGGCCCAGACUCCUACGGGAGGCAGCAGUGGGGAAUAUUGCACAAUGGGCGCAAGCCUGAUGCAGCGACGCCGCGUGGGGGAUGACGGCCUUCGGGUUGUAAACUCCUUUCGCUAGGGACGAAGCGCAAGUGACGGUACCUGGAGAAGAAGCACCGGCUAACUACGUG
rnacentral:rRNA from 1 species